GAUGAACGCUGGCGGCGUGCCUAAUACAUGCAAGUCGAGCGAACGGACGAGAAGCUUGCUUCUCUGAUGUUAGCGGCGGACGGGUGAGUAACACGUGGAUAACCUACCUAUAAGACUGGGAUAACUUCGGGAAACCGGAGCUAAUACCGGAUAAUAUUUUGAACCGCAUGGUUCAAAAGUGAAAGACGGUCUUGCUGUCACUUAUAGAUGGAUCCGCGCUGCAUUAGCUAGUUGGUAAGGUAACGGCUUACCAAGGCAACGAUGCAUAGCCGACCUGAGAGGGGGAUCGGCCACACUGGAACUGAGACACGGUCCAGACUCCGACGGGAGGCAGCAGUAGGGAAUCUGCCGCAAUGGGCGAAAGCCUGACGGAGCAACGCCGCGUGAGUGAUGAAGGUCUUCGGAUCGUAAAACUCUGUUAUUAGGGAAGAACAUAUGUGUAAGUAACUGUGCACAUCUUGACGGUACCUAAUCAGAAAGCCACGGCUAACUACGUG
rnacentral:rRNA from 1 species